UGCCGCAGCCAUAUCACCCUGCUGCCCAAGACCGGUAACUCACUGAAGCUAAGCAGGGAUAAGCUAGGUCAGUACCUGGAUGGAAUAUCACAUAGGAAAACUAGGUUUCUGUUGUAA
ensembl:rRNA 5S_rRNA 5S ribosomal RNA